AGCUCCAAUAGCGUAUAUUAAAGUUGUUGCAGUUAAAAAGCUCGUAGUUGGAUUUCUGGUGGGAGGGAUCGGUCUUGCAUUCUUUGUAAGCACUUGUAUCCUCUCCGGCCAUCCUUGGGUGGAUCUUGUCUGGCAUUAAGUUGUCAGGCAGGGGAUGCCCAUCGUUUACUGUGAAAAAAUUAGAGUGUUCAAAGCAGGCUUAUGCCAUUGAAUAUAUUAGCAUGGAAUAAUAAGAUAGGGCCCGGGUACUAUUUGGUUGGUUUGCGUACCGAGGUAAUGAUUAAUAGGGACAGUUGGGGGUAUUUGUAUUCAGUAUUCAGUGGUGAAAUACUUAGACCUACGGAAGACAAACUACUGCGAAAGCAUUUACCAAGGAUGUUUUCA
rnacentral:rRNA from 1 species